CGAAUCUGUCAGCUUUCUUCUGUAUGCUAUAGGAUUGUUUUUUGGUUUCGUCUCUGAGAAUCAAUUUGUUAGUUUUCAGGGUCUUGUUGGAUUUAUAUGCUCUUGUUGAGAAGUGUUGCCGAUAAUUGAAUAAUCUAUUCGCUUAUAUUGACUGGACAAUUGUGGUUUGAUCAAUGCUUUACAUAACUGUGUCGUAUCUGGCUAGGUAUUCAGAAUGGAAUUAGGAAGGAUAUCUUUUGCUAAAGAGCUUUACCCUACAAGUGUGGUUGUGGAUUCGAGCUGCUAAUUGGUUUCUGACAGUGAUGUUGUUCAAUCAUAUUAUAACAUUUAGCUUUCAGAGUUUACCUAUGUAAAGUAGCUAUUCUUAAAAUAGAUGCUCGGUGUGGGAAGUUGUGAAGACCUAUGGACUGUGUUGGUUUUUUGUGAAAAGAAAAAACAGAUAAGGUGAUAUAUAUAUAUAUAUAUAUAUAUAUAUAUAUUAUGCUUAUACAUACUCAAAUUCUGUUAGUAAGCUCAUGAAAAAAGUUCUGAUAGAUGUACUUUACAUAAUGACUGGUUGAUCAUCUUAUUUGUUCUUUUCUGACCGAUUCUCUUUCUGGUAUUUUUGUUUCCACAUGAUGUCUUGGUUGUUAUUUAUUGUCUUUGGGUUCAUCUCUUGGUAGUGGGAGACUUUAUGAUAAAUUGCUUGUCCAAUUUGAGACCUCUUCUCUGCUUUUCCUUCCUUUAAAGAUGUUUUCUUUUUGGUAUAUGUAAUUAGAGGUUAAUUUGUGCAUUGGAUUGGUUAUUUGGCUUGUAAUUUACAUGCAUUCUGGGGUCUCCUCAGAUAGAUACAGGAUGCAUUAUCCAUUCCUUUCUUGGUUCCAUUGCCUUGUUUGCUGUUUUACCGUUUGGCAUAUUUAUUGUUCCAUCCUCAUCAAUCUAAAUUUAUGCAAAUUUUUUUUUAUGUCCAGGCUCUGAUAAUAGGAUUUCAUGUUAAUUUAAUUGGGAGUGGUCUAAUAAAAAGAAGGGCCUUGGAAUGGUACUUAAACUUACUGAGUGAGAUUUUAAUAAUCUAUGUCAUUGAGACAUUAAUAUUUCUCAUAUGAUAAAUGUUGAUACAAGAAAGCAGUUCUCUAUCUGGGAUGUAAGACAUAAGAAUGGAAUUUCCCUUGCACAGUAUUUUUAUCAAAUAGCUUAUUCUAUUGGAAGAAUGUUUCAGAGAAAGUAGUGAUAAUCUGUGAUAGCAAACAUAUGUACCCUAUUGAGACUAAAUUAAGGUGGCUAGGGAUGGGAGUUCAGCGUGAUUACUUUAUAUUGAAUGCUUCUCUUACAUCCUCUUAGUUUUCUAGUAUGAUUCAUUAUCGCAACAAACUUUAGUUUUUUGCCUCUGACUAUUUCUAUAACAUUUGUUCAUGGGAUGUUAACGUCUGUAAAGUUGAGAGAUUCACGUAGAGCUCUAUCAAUUUGUAGUAUGGAAGAAUACGAGUUUUUCUUUGAAUCCAUUCAUCUUUUCAUCAUCUCCCUCCCAGAUUCUGUGUGCAUGUGUCUUCGGUUAAGAUUGCUAUCAUAUUAUGUUUUUCGUAAAUUCUAUGAUUACUUAAAAGACUGCUGAAUUGCUAAUGCAUCUAAGCAAAGAGCGUUUACUAGCCUUCAGUAGAUUCUAUUGCUAGGUUUGUCAUAUUCCACAUUGCAGAAAUGGUCAGUCUGUUGUAUAUUGAUAGGUAUCGAAGUAGAAAGA